AAGCUUGACAAGCAGUCAUCAUGCAAGUUGACAAUCUUAAUGGAAAAUCAUUUUCAAUACUUAUCUUUACUAAAUAAAACUUAUCGGUGCUCAUCAGCCAUUGGACAUAAACAUUAAACAACAAGUUAUAAAUCAGAAAUUGAACAAGCAGUGUGUCAAGAAGCAGUGCGGCUUGGCUCUCGACCUUCGCCAAGUCCGUAGCGGGGUGGCAGUGAUGGGACAAGAUCGUAACUACAAAUUGGAUAUUACGAAAAAGGGGGUAACACCAUGGGACAGAAAAGUUUGAAUACAUUGGCCAUGCUGUCAAUCCAGCAUGAUUUAUAUCGCGUUCAAAACAACUGGAAACUCGGAUCUGGAAAAUCUCAGAAUUCAGUGAGUUCAAGACAACUGGGAACUUUGAUAAAACUAGCUCUGACGGGGAAAAUACGGAAAAUUAUUUUGAACGGUCAUCCAACUCGGAAUUCCAAGUCGGGAUUCGGGUCUUGUUCUAGAGCCCACAAGAAGGACCGCGGCGCCACCUUCCUGUUCAAGUGAGCACAGCACAACUAGUGUUCCCUCACAGCAGGUCUGGUCGUGGAAGUGACUUUGUCCCUGGAGAGAUGUAGGGUUCACACAGCAACGUUCUGGCACCUAGACCACAGGGCUGUUUCCCUGACAUACUGGAGGCAGAUGGAGAAAAAGACAGAGUGGGGAGGACCUCUGCAGGAAGUGCAGCUCAGAGCAAGACCCUGAUGAUGCACAGCAGCUUGCAUUGAGAGGCUCUGGAGAGAGUGGUUCAGAAUCGAAGCAGCAGCAGUGGCUUCGCUGGUCAAACUGGUGGUCUCCACAGCACUGGUGGUGAACGGACAUUUUGGUCAGUACCUUCUUUCCUUUAACGACAUUUCCACAGCAAAGCUGGUGGUCUUCGUUGUAAAGCUCUGCAGAACAGGUAAUAAGGACUGAUCAGAUGUACUGUUUAAACGACUGAAUGGCUUUCAAGUGCUCAAGUCUAACGGUCUUGACAUUGUGACGGGGAGUGAGCAUAGAAGCCGUGAGGUGCAGGUGGGAAAUUGGGAAACUUCUUCCAAACAGUUUUCGGAGCAGACAGAUGUAAGGGGUGCGUAAUCGAUGGCAGGGAAGUCAGACGCAGGAGAGCUGAACUUGGUAAUAGCCGGAGCAGUUUAACAGUAAAACCCACGGCAUAAAAAUAACAAGAUAAUUGGGUCCAAAAACCCGUCACGCAUCAAACAACACAUGCACAAGCACUUACAAUAAGCAAUCCCACACAAAGACAUGAGGGGAACAGAGGGUUAUAUACACAACAAAUGAUUGAGGGAAUUGAGGAAAAACAACACAAAACACAUGGAAAAUUAAAAGUGUUUCGAUGAUGGCUAGAAGACUGGCGACGCCGAGCGCCACCCGAACAAGGAGAGGACCCGACCUCUAUUGGAAAGACAGUUUGAAAGCAAAGUCUAAAAUGCACACCACGACAACAUCUCUGUUUAUGCCUUUGUGAAGAAUAAAACAAACACAACUACAUAAUCGAUGAUGACAUCAAUAGAUGUGAAUAGACCUGAUCUCGCUGACCUUUUCC